rnacentral:lncRNA from 1 species
GUGAGUCCCCUUACACAGAAGGAAGUUCUUCCCAACUGGAUCUUAACACCUCUAGUUCUUUAAACUUGCUCUUUCAAGGUCCCUGAGGCCCACCAAAAUCAUACAAACUAUUCAGCUGCAAUUUGAGCUUCUUUUAGGGUCAUUAUUAUUACAAUUUUUUAACAUCUCUUUUCGUGCUUUUAAAUGAAAGUGUCAGUGAGAUGAAUACGAAUCCCCGGAUAGAACACAGUGGGCGCACUUGCCCUCUGAGGACCUUACAGCACUUCAUAGAGAAUUUGAUUUAAUGUGCACUCAAAAGCCACCUUUGGCUUGACCUGGUUUCUGGAAUUUUCUGGGUUAUUAAAACUGUGCAGUUUUUCAUUUUCUUGGCUUUGUCUGUGACAUUCUGGGUUGACACGGCUGCGUCUGCCUCCACCACGUCUGAAAUGUUCCUGGCAUUUUCCUCGGGAGUUUGCUAACCCAACAUCUGUGCCAUGGCUUCAGAGGAGAGAAGCUGCACCCCAGAGCCAGGGCAGAGAGGAGACAGUUCCCUCUGAGGGACUCCCGGGCUUCCCACCCUGUGACAGAUCUCCUGGGUGCUGACUUCGACUGCGGUGGAGAAAGGUGUGGAAGACUUACGCCAUGAGAAUGCUUCCCCCAGUGGCCUGCAGGGACUGUAUCCACAGUUUGUCACUGUGUUUGGUGUGCAGAGGAGGAAGAAGCACCGGGCUCCAUGAAGCUGGCGCUGGGCCUGGGUGCAGGGGAUCUCUUCCGCUCCCUCGCAGACCUUCUGUGCUUCUAAGACAAUAUGGUCACGGCCACUCACUGCUUGACACCUCUUUUUUUCUCUUUUUCUGGAAAUGCAAUCCAAAGCUCUUCAGGGGAUAAAUGAUAGUAUGAGUAUAGGCAGAGUCUAACAGUGCCCAGAGACGUAGCUGGAGGACAGUGAGAACGUUGGUCUGCACCUAGACCUCCAGUUAUGAUGUAUCGGCUUAUUCACUUCAUCAGAGGCCGUGAAUCACUCUGAUUACACUGAAUACCAGGCACAAUCUGCAGAAUCUAUAGCUCCAAGCCCUCCCAGAGAGCUUUCUGCCAGCUUCCAAAGAAACAACAUUUGCGUCAAUGGUCUCCAACUGGUAUGGGGGAGGUAGGAGCCCCUGGGAAUGUGCAAGAUGUUACCUUGUGGGGGCCUAGAAGAAGAUGGUAGACAUUCUAAUUUUAUUUUAUUUUAUUUUUGCCAAGGAAGAUUUGCCCUGAGCUAACAUCCGUGCCAAUCUUCCUUUACUUUAUAUGGCCUGGGAUCUGAACUCGUGGACCAGGGCUGCUGAAGCGGAGUGCACUGAACUUAACCACUACACCACAGGAC